rnacentral:tRNA from 1 species
GGAAGCGUGCCUGAAAUUAAAGGGCUACUUUGAUAGAGUAGAUUAUAGAGGCUCACCCCUCUCACUUCCC